rnacentral:rRNA from 1 species
UACAGAGGGGGCAAGCGUUGUUCGGAAUUACUGGGCGUAAAGGGCGCGUAGGCGGCCUGUUAAGUCGAACGUGAAAUCCCCGGGCUCAACCCGGGAACUGCGUCCGAUACUGGCAGGCUUGAAUUCGGGAGAGGGAUGCGGAAUUCCAGGUGUAGCGGUGAAAUGCGUAGAGAUGUGGAGGAACACCAGUGGCGAAGGCGACUCUUUGGCCUGUAACUGACGCUGAGGCGCGAAAGCGUGGGGAGCAAACAGG